UCACAUGAUGACGGACAUUUCUUCACUUUGACCUGAUGGACUGUAAGGAGACCCAUGGUCUGAGU
ensembl:snoRNA